rnacentral:piRNA from 2 species
UCUGACCACCCCACUGGUAACAGUUCUGC